GCCUGGCUGGCUCAGUUGGUGGAGCAUGAAACUCUUGAUCUUGGGGUUGUGAGUUCAUGUCCCAUGUUGGGCA
rnacentral:tRNA from 1 species